AGGAUGAACGCUAGCUACAGGCUUAACACAUGCAAGUCGAGGGGUAGCAGGGUAGCAAUACCGCUGACGACCGGCGCACGGGUGAGUAACACGUAUCCAACCUUCCCAUAACUCAGGGAUAGCCUUUCGAAAGAAAGAUUAAUACCUGAUAGUACUUUUUCAAGGCAUCUUGAGAAAGUUAAAGAUUUAUUGGUUAUGGAUGGGGAUGCGUUCCAUUAGAUAGUUGGUGAGGUAGCGGCUCACCAAGUCUUCGAUGGAUAGGGGUUCUGAGACGGAAGGUCCCCCACAUUGGUACUGAGACACGGACCAAACUCCUACGGGAGGCAGCAGUGAGGAAUAUUGGUCAAUGGGCGAGAGCCUGAACCAGCCAAGUAGCGUGAAGGAUGAAGGUCCUAUGGAUUGUAAACUUCUUUUAUAGUAGAAUAAAGUGAUCCACGUGUGGAUUUUUGUAUGUAUACUAUGAAUAAGGAUCGGCUAACUCCGUGCCAGCCGCUGC
rnacentral:rRNA from 1 species